rnacentral:lncRNA from 1 species
GCGGUCCAAGUGGCCCGCGGGCGUGGACCCGGGAGGCCUCUGGCAUCUGCCCCACCUGAGAGGUGGGAACCGGGCUGGGAGGGACGUAGAUUCCUCAUCGACGUGACCCUGGUAGGGAAAGAGCCCCCAAAACAGGGAGUUCGGUAGAGGCGCCAGAGCUGACAUGGGCACUGCCGCAGUGCCAGCCACGGCCACCAAACUCUCCCAGCACGGCUGGGCGGCCAAGGCAGGGGUGACGACGAGAGGGGCGGCUCAGCCCACCUCCCCCGCUGAUCUGUCGGGAAAGGAGGAAGAAGGGUCAUGAAAGCCUCACACACCGCUAGGAGGGGGCAUCCUGGAGCAGGGGGCUGGAUCAGGACCCGGCUGGAUGGGAAGGAGCUGGCGGGUUGUUUUGAGCUGCCCUCUCCUUUGGAGAGCCCCACCUGGCUGGGAACCGAAGCCCUGAACCAACAGCCAGCAAGAGCUGAGGCUUGGCGACCACCAGCGCGUGAGCCGGCUGUGGAUGCCCGGACCCGGUGCAGCUGAGAAUGGCUGCGGCAGGCCUCAUCAGCGAUCCUGAGCCGCAGCAGCCUGAGAGCAGCUUCCCGGGCUCCUGACCCUUGGAAACUGGGAAAUAGAUGGGAAUGCGGGUUUGCUGCUUUAAGGUUCUAAGUUUUGGGUGUAAUCCAUUAUGCAGCAAUAGAUACCUAAUAGUCUGUGGUUUUUUGGAACCACUGUAUUUUCCCCAUACUGCUUAUCUCUUAACUAGUUUUAUGUGAGAUAGAAAAAUAGGCCGGGCACAGUGGCUCACGCCUGUAAUCCCAACACUUUAGGAGGCCGAGGCAGGAGGAUCACUUGAGCCCAGGAGUUCCAGACCAGCUUGAGCAACAUAGGGAGACCCGUCUCUACAAAAAAUGUAAAAAUCAGCCCAGCGUGAUGGCACACGUCUGUGGUCCCAACCACAAGAGAGGCUAAGGUGUGAGAGCCACUUGAGCCCAGGAGGUUAAGGCUGCAGUGAGCCAAGAUUGUGACAUUACACUCCAGUCUGGGCUGCAGAACGUGAC